UACGUAGGGGGCAAGCGUUGUCCGGAUUUAUUGGGCGUAAAGCGCGUGUAGGCGGCUUUGCAAGUCGGAUGUGAAAUCCCACGGCUCAACCGUGGAAGUGCAUCCGAAACUGCAUCGCUGGAGUCUCGGAGAGGAAGGUGGAAUGCUUGGUGUAGAGGUGAAAUGCGCAGAUAUCAGGAGGAACACCGGUGGCGAAGGCGGCUUGCUGGGCCUUACCUGACGCUGAGGAGCGAAAGCGUGGGGAGCGAACAGG
rnacentral:rRNA from 1 species